AGUAGUUAUAACUAUCGGGUAGAAGCAACAAUCCAAAUUAGACGUAGAUUAAUGAGAUUAGAGGGUGGAGAUGCAACCACGUUAUCAGUGCCAAACUAGCAUAAGUCACGUUGAUUUAACCAACUGUGCAGAGGAAAAAGGGGCUUAACGGAUAAUGGGCAUCUUCUGACUUAUUCUCUCUUCUCUCAGAUUUCUCCUUUAAUCUUCUUCCUUCCUAAUCCCACUCAUUCUUCUUCUACAAAUUAAGGACUCAUCUAUUGAUACUUCCAAACUUUAGAUUCAUUUUCCAUUGUUUCAAGUUGUAAUUCCUUACGUUCAGUUGAUUAAUAGAAAAUUGUCCAAAAAACUUCUAUUGUUCUAUUAAAUUUCUAUUUUAUAAUUGUUGAAUUGAGGUGAGGUUUUAGUAAUUAGUAUCAGGGCAAGGUUACACUCAAUUUAUGAAGGUGAAAAUGGUUGAAGGGACCAGGAUGAAGCUGUUAGAUGAUAAGUUGCUUCGUCAUGAUAAAAUUUUGGGAGAUCUCACUAUGAACUGCAAAGAACUCAAAAGACUCAAACUGGAAUCAAGUGAACUUUGGAGCUAUUUUUGGAUCGUUUGGAAUCUCUAAAAAGAGCAUCAGUCAGCUCUCCUGAAGAUGGUCUGACUGAAGAGCAUCAGGAAAGUAGGGCUUGAUUGCCUAUUCCACUUCCUAAACGGGAACUACCAAGCUUCGAAGGGAACAAACCUAAGGUAUGGUUGCGUAAGUGUGAAAAAUAUUUUAACCUAUAUAGAAUUGUUGAUAAUCAGAAGGUAGAGGGAGCUGCACUCUAUUUGAAUGGACUUGAUAUAAUUCACUAGUUUUUGAUAGAAAAGUAGUUACUGAAUUUAAGGAGGAACUAUGUGUGUGAUUUGGGGAAACAGUGGUUGAAGAUACAGUCGAGGAAUUUAAUAAGCUAUCUCAAACAGGAACUGUAGAUGAAUUCCUUGGCAAGUUUGAAGACUUGAAAGCCCAUAUGAUAAUAAGGAAUUCAGCCUUGAAUGAGGCUCAUUUUCUGUCAAGUUUUAUUGGGUCUUUGAAAGAGGAAAUUAAGUUUGGGGUCAAAAUGUUUAAGUUGGUAACAUUAAAAGCAACUAUAGAGCAGGCUAGGCUACAGGAGAAAGCAAUAGAAGUGAUGAAGAAGAAGAAGGGCUAAAACUUUCUAUUCGGUGGGAGAGUCUAGCUCUACAAAGAAUGUUAUGGGAAGUAAUCUAAUUACUACGGUUGCCGGUGGUUCAAAAUGUUAGACAAUUGACAUUUUUUUCCAGCUUAUUAUUAUUUUUACUGUUUUUACUUAUUUCAAUUUAGUGCUUCCUAUUUUUUAGUUAGACGUAGUCAACUUUAGUUACUCAACUUUCUGAAGUUAGUAUCCCCAUUAUGGCUGUUAGUGGCCCCUUUUAUGGUAGUUAGUGGCACAUGUUCUUAUUUAAUUUUAAUGUUUAUGUUUUUUCCUUGUAUAAAUUCAAACUUUCUGCAGAUUAAUAUACACAAGGAAUUUCAUAAGUCCACUCUAUUUUUAUUUUUUCAAAUAAGUUUCUUGAGUUUUUUUGUUCUAAUAGUGGCAUCAGAGCCUCUAGUUGAUCUUACUGGACAAAAAAGUUUUAAGCUAUAAAACAAAUGACAUCCAACAACCUACCUUUAAAUCCACCAUUCACUUUCACUGGUGAAAAUUACCAAAUAUGGUCUAUGAAGAUGCAAGCUUCUUUGGAAGCCUAUGAACUUUGGGAAACUGUGACGGAAGAUAAACCACUUGCUGCUCUAUCAUCAAAUCCUACCUUGGCUCAGAUCAAAUCCAACAACGAAGAGAGGGCAAACAAAAUCUAAAGCCAAGUUGCUUAUGUAGAAUGCUGUGGAAGAUUCUGUAUUUUACAGAAUCAUGGCUUGCAAAACAGCAAAAGAGUUUUGGGAUAGGUUGAAAGAAGAAUAUCAAGGCAGUGAUAGAAUGCGUCAAUAUCAAUGCAGCGAUAGAAUGUGUCAAUAUCAAUGCAGCGAUAGAAUGCGUCAAAUGCAAGUGUUGAAUAUGCAGGAGGAUGAAACUAUCAGUAAUCAUGCUGAUCGAAUCUCCUUAAUUGUUAAUAACAUUAGAAUUCUUAGCGAAGAGUUUACAAAAAAACGAAUUGUGGAAAAAGUUCUUGUGACUCUUUCUGAGAGGUUUGAAUCUAAGAUUUCCUCUCUUGAAGAAUCCAAAGACCUAGGCAAACUUUCAUUAGGUGAACUAAUGAGUGCUCUUCGUGCACAAGACUAAAGGAGGAAUAUGAGACGGGAAAAGUCAGUAAAGGAGCUUUCUCUGUACAAAAGCAACAAGGAAAGCAACCAUUCCACCAAAAGAAUAAGGGCAAGCAUGAUGGAGGAAACAACACUGGAGAUGUGAAGCAGAACUUCCCUCCUUGCAAACAUUGUAAAAGAAAUAAACAUUUGGAGAAGUAUUGUUGGUGGAGAUUUGAUACUAUAUGCUGCAACUGUAAGCAGAGGCGACACAUAUCCAAGGUCUGCAAAUCAAGAGCAAAGGCCUCUGGUGCUUUGCAAGCACAAAAAGCAGAAGCUGCCGAUGCACAUGAGGAGCAACUCUUUGCAGUUUCUACUUUUCAAUAAGUGAAUCCUCUGAUUCAUGGCUUCUUGACAGUGAUUGCACACAUCACUUGUGCAAUGAUGUUGAACUGUUCAAAUUCCUCGAUGACACUUACAAAUCUAAAGUAAAAGUGGGAAACGAUGAGGCAGUAGAAGUCAAAGGCAGAGCUACAACGCCUAUCUCAACAAUAUCAGGGAAAGCAAACAAAAUUGUCAUUUCAAGCAAAUCAAGUACGGAAAGCUAACCAGAAACUUUAGCUCAUUCAUACGAAUGUUUGCGGCCCAAUGAAAACAAUUUCGUUGAGUGGUAACAAAUACUUUCUCCUCUUUAUUGAUAACUACACUAGAAUGUGUUGGGUUUAUUUCAUAAGACUGAAGAGUGAAGUCUUUAUGUUUUUAAACAAUUUAAAGCUUUUGUAGAAAAUCAAUGUAAUCUUAGAUAUUCUUCUUCUAAAUUUGUGGAGUUUUGUAAUAACGCAUGUAUUGAACGCCAAUUGACAUUACCAUACACUCCACAACAAAAUGGCGUGUUUAAAAGGAAGAACAAGACAGUAAUGGAGAUGACCAGAUGUCUUUUGCUCAAAAGAAAGAUCCCAAAUUAGAUUUGGGCUGAUUUAGUCAAUACCUCUGUAUAUUUGUUGAACAAAUUGCCUACUAAGGCCUUGUAGGACAUGACUACAUAUGAAGCAUGGUGUGGGAACAAACCAUCGGUACACCAUCUCAGAAUCUUUGGGUGUAUAUGUUAUUAUCAAGUUCCAGAAACAGAAAGGAGUAAGCUGGACAACAAGGCUCAUAAAGGCAUAUUUAUGGGCUAUAGUUCAUCCAAAGGUUAAAGGAUUUUCUGUUUGAAAUCAGACAAACUAAUUCUCAGCCGAAAAGUGAAUUUUGAUGAAGCAGCAGGCUGGGAUUGGAAAAAUCAGAAGACCUCUUAUUCUGAUUUAUUUUCAAUAGAGCAACCUCAACUUUCAGAAGAUGAACUAGUGGAUGAUGUACCAGUGAGGGGAACUCGAUCCUUAAAAGAUGUCUAUUAACGGUGUAACUUGGUUACCUCUGAACCAACAAGCUAUGCUGAAGCAAAAGACUCUCAGGCAUGGAGGAGAGCUAUCCAAGAAGAAAUAGACGUGAUCGAGAAGAACGGAACCUGGAAGCUUAUUGAUAGACCUCGAAAUUGCAAGGUGAUUGGUGUAAAAUGGUUUUUCAAGACAAAACUCAAUCCUGAUGGAACAGUUUGCAAACAUAAGGCUAGAUUGGUGGUGAAGGGAUACGCACAACAAUAUGGUGUGGAUUACCAGGAAAUGUUUGCCCCUGUAGCAAGGUAUGACACAAUCAAGCUUAAACUUGCAUUUGCAUCUCAUAGUUCCUGGCAUAUUCAUCAACUUGAUGUCAAAUCGGCUUUCUUGAAUGUUUUCUUGCUGAAGAGAUCUAUAUAGAGAAACCUGAUGGUUUCUCAACUCCCAAAAAAGAGUAUCAAGUUUAUCUCUUAAGAAAGGCCUUGUAUGGCCUAAAACAAGCUCCAAGGGCAUGGUAUGAGAGGAUGGACAAUCAUCUCAUCCAACUUGGCUUUAGUAGAAGUCAAGUGAAGCUACUUUGUAUGUGAAAUUCAAUGCUGCUGAGGAUUCCUUAAUUGUAUCAAUUUAUGUGGAUGGCAUGCUUGUGACAGAAAGCAAAAUUGAACUAAUCCAAAGGUUGAAGGAUGAAAUGGAGAAAAUAUUUGAAAUGACUGAUCUUAGAGUCAUGACGUACUUUCUCGACAUGGAAGUGUUGCAGUCCAGUGAAGGAAUUUUCAUAUGCUAGCUAAAAUACAUUUUGGAUAUUCUAAACAGGUUCAAAAUGCAAGACUGCAAACCUGUGAGUACUCCAAUAUAUACUGGUGUGAAUCUUGGAAAGGAAGAGGAUUCCGAAGAAGUGGACGAUAGUUUGCAUAGAAGCUUAAUUGGCAAACUUCUAUAUCUAAAAUGCAUUCUCCUAGAGACACACACCUCACAGCGGCUAAAAGAGUGUUAAGGUAUAUUAAAGGAACCAACAAGUUUGUAAUUUUUUCUCAACAUCUACCGAAGUAACUAUGAACCUGAUCGGGUACUCUAAUAGUGAUAGGGUUGGUGGAGUUGAUGAUUCCAAAAACAACUUUAGAUAUCUUUUCUGUUUGGGACAAAUUGUUUUAGUUGGAGCUCUAAAAAACAAGAAACUACAGCUCAAUCAACAGCAGAAGCUGAGUACAUAGCUGCUACAUCUGUUGUGAAUCAAGCUAUCUGGCUAAGGAAGAUGAUGAAGGACUUAGGCCAUGAACAAGCAGAAGCUACCAAGAUCAUGUGUGACAACUGUUCAACAAUUUAAAUCUAAAAAAAUCUAGUUUUUCAUGGUCGAACUAAGCAUAUCAAGAUCAAGUUUUAUUUUAUCAGAAAAGUCCAAUAAUUUAAUGAAGUGUUGCUUGUUCAUUGUUCAUCUGAGAACCAACAAACUGACAUUUUCACCAAGUCAUUUCCAAAGGAAAGGUUUGAAGAUUUUAGGCAAAGAAGCCAAGGAGGAGUGUUACACAGGUUUUUACUUAUUUUCGUUUAGUGUUUCCUAUUUUCUAGCUAGACUUAGGCAACUUUAGUUGGUCAACUUUCUGAAGUUAGUGUCCCUAUUAUGGCAGUUAGUGGCCCAUUUUAUGGUAAUUAGCGGCACAUGUUCUUAUUUAAUUUUAAUGUUUAUGUUUUUCCUUGUAUAAAUUCAGACUUUCUAUAGAUUAAUAUAUACAAGGAAUUUCAUAAGUUCACUCUAUUUUUGUUUUUUCAAAUCAGUUUCUUGAGUAUUUUUGUUCUAACAGAAACUACUUCAAACCUAUUGUUGUGAACAAACCUAGACCAAACACUUUUUAGGUUAACCCAAGAAGUUUAUGAAUAUAGAAAGAGCAACAAGUUAUGUUUCAGGUGCGGAGAGAAGUACUACCUAGGACAUAACCGCAAGGCUGAGCAGUUGAAUUGCAUGAGGGGUGAUGAAGAAGUACCUGAACCACCAGAUCUUAUCAUUGAAUGAGAGAUACAACAGAAGGUUAUGAAGGACACAUGUUUGAGGGUAUUAUUUGGUAGUAUCCUAGGAGUAAAUUUUAUGUUGGUCAAAGGGUCUGUAGGGAAUAGGGCAUUAGCGGUGUUGAUCGAUUCUGAUAGCACUCAUAUCAUAGACGAACAAGCAGUUGAUAACACUGGUUAUGUGGCUGAGAAUCCCGCAUUUGGUCAUUGUUGCUGAUGGAAAUUAUGUGACGUGUCAUAUUAGUUGCCCUUGUUUUAAUUGGAAAAUGAAUGUAAAAGCCUCAAGGAGGAUCUAAGAAUCAUCAACUAAGGAGGAUAUGAUCUAGUGCUAGGAAAUGAUUGGAAUAAGAGAAAUAAUCCUACCAAGUUCGAUCAUGAAAAAAAGUGUGUUACAAUUGGUAGAAAUGGAAACAAAACCAUUCUACAUGUUUUUAUAGGUGAAAAUAGUUUGAGUAUGAUCAUUGGUAGUGUCAUGGGAUGGCUGAUCAAGAAGGAUCAAAACUUGAUGGCUAAUUUAUUCAUGCUAGGAGCAUAGUCUUACAAUGAGUAAAAGCAGGUGGAUGCCAUAUACAAGAAGUGUUGGACAAGUACUAGUCCAUAUUUGCUGAGCCAGUCUUUACCACCAGUGAGACAACUGGACCAUGGUAUUAACUUAAUUCCUGGAGCCUCACCAGUUAGUCUAAGACCUUAUAGAUACAAUCACUACCAAAAGGAGGAAUUAUAAAAUCAUGUUUCGAAGAUGCUUACUAAUGGGAUUAUUAGUCAUAACUAAUCUCCCUUUUCCUCACCAGCUCUAUUGGUUAAGUAAAAGGAUUGCACCUUGCGGUUUUGUGAGACUACAGAGGAUUGAAUGAGAUCAAAGUGAGGAUAAGUACCCAAUUCCCGUCAUUGAUGACCUUUUAGAUGAGCUAUAUGGACCAUUGUCUUUUCCAAAAUUGAUCUCAGAGAGGGUUAUCAUCAAAUAAGAAUGAAGGUUAAAAAUGUGUACAAAACGACAUUCAUAACUCACAUAGGUCAUUAUGAGUUUAAGGUAUGCCCUUUGGGAUUACCAAAGUUUCCGUUACCUUUUAGGCCCCAACGAAUUCUUUCAAUUGUACCUCAUGAAGUUUGUUUUUGUGUUUUUGAUGAUAUUCUCAUUUAUAGUAAAUCAUUGUCUGCACAUGUAGAGCAUUUACUGUUGGUGUCCAACACCUUAUUAUUUCAUUUCUUGUAUGCAAAAAGGUCCAAGUGCUCUUUUGGUCAAUCUAAAGAGUACUUAGGGCAUGUUCUUAAAGAUAUGGAAGAAUGGCCUACCCCUAGAACUGUGAAAGCUUUGAGGGGAUUUCUUGGUGUAACAGGAUAUUAUAGAAAAUAUGUACCUAAUUAUGAAAGAAUAAUAAGACUACUAUCUGACUUGUUGAAGAAGAAUGUUAUUGUGCGGAUUGAGGAAGCUGAUCAAUCUGUUGCGGCAAUUAAAAAGGUCAUGUCUGCCACACCAAUGCUUGCAUUACCAAAUUCAUGAUGAAGAAUUUUUAGUAGAGACUGAUGCAUGUCAUUCAGGAUUCAGAGUUGUGCUGUUACAAAGGGGAAGACCAAUAUCCUAUUUUAGUAAGGUAUUGGCUAUUAAGCAUAGAUAUAACUCCAUCUACGAGAAAGAAUAUUUAGCUCGAUUGAAUGUAGUAGACAAGUGGCGACAUUACCUUUGAUAUAAGCAUUUUCUGGUCAAGACUGACCAUCAUAGCCUUAAGUAUUUUCUUGAACAGAGGUUACUACAACAAUGCAACAAAGUGGUGUGACCAAAUUGUUGGGGUUAGAUUAUGAAGUCCAGUAUAAGAAAGGGGCAGAGAAUAAAGUGUCUGAUGUACUCUCAAGGCAAUAUGAAGGGGUUAGCUUGAGUGAAGCUAAUAUAAUGUCUAACCUACAAGAGGAAAACCACUUGCAUGAAGAAGGUCAAUUCCAUGAUAUUAGAGCAACAGUUCCAUUGUGGGCCCAAGGGGUUGAAACUAGCUAUGAAGGAGAUCCUAUGUCCGUAGAGCUCAUUACACAGUUGAAAGUAAUACUAAUUGUCCAUAUCUGUGGCAAUUCUACUAAGGAGUAUUGCGAAGGAAGGGGAAGAUUUAUGUGGGCUCUAAUGGACCUCUUUGUCAUCAAUUGAUCUGGACCUUCUAUUCUUCUAACGUAGGAGGGCACUCAGGCCAACUUGCAACUUUCAAAAGUUUUUCUAUAUUACUCUAUUUUCCUUCAAUGAAACAAAUGAUGGUGCAGUUUGAGGUUAAUCAUAGGAGCAAGGAUGAGAAUGUUCCCUAUCAAGGUUUGCUGCAACCCUUGCCCAUUCCUGAUUAGUCAUGGAGACACAUAAGUUUGGAUUUUAUUGAAAUUUUCCUAAAUCCUCAAGAAAGGAUGUUAUUAUUGUAAUGGUUAAUAUGCUCACUAAAGGUGAUCAUUUUAUAUCUCUAUCCCACCCUUCAUAGCUCUGCAAGUAGCAACUAAAUUUUGGAAGAGAGUACACACUUUUCGUGGUGCACCUGAGUUCAUUAUUCUUGAUCGAGAUAGGAUAUUUUUGAGUACUUUCUAGCAAGAUCUUUUCAAAUUGAGUAGCACACAACUCUUAUAUAGUUCUUCAUAUCAUCCUCAAGCAGAUUGGAAAAUAGAGAGGGUUAAUCGGUGUAUAAAAAAUACUUGAGGUGCAUGACUAGUCACAGAACUCAUCAGUGGAAGUAGUGGUUUCACUUAGGUGAGUGGUGGUACAACAACAACUGUCACACAAGCUCGUAUUGCACCCCUUUUGAAGAUUAGUAUGGGUACUCACCUCCUCAACUAUCGAUGGGACCAAUGAUGGAUAUUGUGGUGCCUGCUACUGAAGAUUUGUUCAUGAAGAGGCAACAUAUACAACAAAUUCUUAAGGACAAUUUGUUGAAAGCUCAAGAAAGAAUGAAGUACUAUGUUGAUCUUCAUAGUUCUAAAAAGGAGUCUCAACCUGGUGAGAUGGUAUACCUCAAGCUUCAGUCCUCCACUAGUGUACGAAGAAAUUUGAAGCUUAGCUCCAAAUAUAUGGCCUGUACAAGAUUCUAGAAAGGAUUGGACCAGUAGCCUAUAAGCUAGAUCUUCCACCUACUUCUAAAGUCCAUUCAAUGUUCCAUGUAUCGCUUCUCAAAAAGAAGAUAGGGGCUAGAGAGGUGUUGCAAUCUAUUCUACCAAUUACUGAGAAGGAUGGUCAAAUUUUAGUUCGACCAGUGGUUGUUCUUUAGUGGCAGAUAGUGACUUCCUAAAGAUGCUACAUGGGAAGAUUAUCAUUUCAUCAAGGACAAGUUUCUUGAUUUUAUUAUUGAUCCUUGAGGAAAA